ACGAAGUGUGACCGCCAGACAGCCGGGAUGUUGGCUUGGAAGCAGCCAUUCAUUCAAAGAGUGCGUAACAGCUCACUAGUAGAGUGGCGGGGCAUGGAUAAUAAUCGGGCAUGAAACACGGUACCGAAACUGUGGAAUGGUGUCUAGCACACCAUUGGUAGGGGAGCAUUCCAGCGGUGCUGAGGUGUAUCUUGAGACAUGCUGGAGCUUCUGGAAAAGCAAAUGUAGGUAUAAGUAACGCCAAAGGGGGCGAGAAACCCCCUCGCCGCAAGACCAAGGUUUCCUGAUCAACGCUAAUCGGA
rnacentral:ncRNA from 1 species